GGGACACGUGGUAUCCUGUCUGAAUAUGGGGGGACCAUCCUCCAAGGCUAAAUACUCCUGACUGACCGAUAGUGAACCAGUACCGUGAGGGAAAGGCGAAAAGAACCCCGGCGAGGGGAGUGAAAAAGAACCUGAAACCGUGUACGUACAAGCAGUGGGAGCCUCUUAAUGGGGUGACUGCGUACCUUUUGUAUAAUGGGUCAGCGACUUAUAUUCUGUAGCAAGGUUAACCGAAUAGGGGAGCCGAAGGGAAACCGAGUCUUAACUGGGCGUUAAGUUGCAGGGUAUAGACCCGAAACCCGGUGAUCUAGCCAUGGGCAGGUUGAAGGUUGGGUAACACUAACUGGAGGACCGAACCGACUAAUGUUGAAAAAUUAGCGGAUGACUUGUGGCUGGGGGUGAAAGGCCAAUCAAACCGGGAGAUAGCUGGUUCUCCCCGAAAGCUAUUUAGGUAGCGCCUCGUGAAUUCAUCUCCGGGGGUAGAGCACUGUUUCGGCAAGGGGGUCAUCCCGACUUACCAACCCGAUGCAAACUGCGAAUACCGGAGAAUGUUAUCACGGGAGACACACGGCGGGUGCUAACGUCCGUCGUGAAGAGGGAAACAACCCAGACCGCCAGCUAAGGUCCCAAAGUCAUGGUUAAGUGGGAAACGAUGUGGGAAGGCCCAGACAGCCAGGAUGUUGGCUUAGAAGCAGCCAUCAUUUAAAGAAAGCGUAAUAGCUCACUGGUCGAGUCGGCCUGCGCGGAAGAUGUAACGGGGCUAAACCAUGCACCGAAGCUGCGGCAGCGACACUAUGUGUUGUUGGGUAGGGGAGCGUUCUGUAAGCCUGUGAAGGUGUACUGUGAGGU
rnacentral:rRNA from 1 species